GCUUGCACCUGAUUGAUUUUGGUCGCCAACGAGUGGCGGACGGGUGAGUAACACGUAGGUAACCUGCCCAGAAGCGGGGGACAACAUUUGGAAACAGAUGCUAAUACCGCAUAACAACGUUGUUCGCAUGAACAACGCUUAAAAGAUGGCUUCUCGCUAUCACUUCUGGAUGGACCUGCGGUGCAUUAGCUUGUUGGUGGGGUAAUGGCCUACCAAGGCGAUGAUGCAUAGCCGAGUUGAGAGACUGAUCGGCCACAAUGGGACUGAGACACGGCCCAUACUCCUACGGGAGGCAGCAGUAGGGAAUCUUCCACAAUGGGCGCAAGCCUGAUGGAGCAACACCGCGUGAGUGAAGAAGGGUUUCGGCUCGUAAAGCUCUGUUGUUAAAGAAGAACACGUAUGAGAGUAACUGUUCAUACGUUGACGGUAUUUAACCAGAAAGUCACGGCUAACUACGUGCCAGCAGCCGCGGUAAUACGUAGGUGGCAAGCGUUAUCCGGAUUUAUUGGGCGUAAAGAGAGUGCAGGCGGUUUUCUAAGUCUGAUGUGAAAGCCUUCGGCUUAACCGGAGAAGUGCAUCGGAAACUGGAUAACUUGAGUGCAGAAGAGGGUAGUGGAACUCCAUGUGUAGCGGUGGAAUGCGUAGAUAUAUGGAAGAACACCAGUGGCGAAGGCGGCUACCUGGUCUGCAACUGACGCUGAGACUCGAAAGCAUGGGUAGCGAACAGGAUUAGAUACCCUGGUAGUCCAUGCCGUAAACGAUGAGUGCUAGUGUUGGAGGGUUUCCGCCCUUCAGUGCCCGGAGCUAACGCAUUAAGCACUCCGCCU
rnacentral:rRNA from 2 species